GUUGGGUAGGGGAGCGUUCUGUAAGCCUGUGAAGGUGUGUCGUGAGGCAUGCUGGAGGUAUCAGAAGUGCGAAUGCUGACAUAAGUAACGAUAAAGCGGGUGAAAAGCCCGCUCGCCGGAAGACCAAGGGUUCCUGUCCAACGUUAAUCGGGGCAGGGUGAGUCGACCCCUAAGGCGAGGCCGAAAGGCGUAGUCGAUGGGAAACGGGUUAAUAUUCCCGUACUUGGUGUUACUGCGAAGGGGGGACGGAGAAGGCUAUGUUGGCCGGGCGACGGUUGUCCCGGUUUAAGCGUGUAGGUGUGUGUUCCAGGUAAAUCCGGUUCACUUUAACACUGAGGCGUGACGACGAGGCACUACGGUGCUGAAGCAACAAAUGCCCUGCUUCCAGGAAAAGCCUCUAAGCAUCAGGUAACACGAAAUCGUACCCCAAACCGACACAGGUGGUCAGGUAGAGAAUACCAAGGCGCUUGAGAGAACUCGGGUGAAGGAACUAGGCAAAAUGGUGCCGUAACUUCGGGAGAAGGCACGCUGACACGUAGGUGAAGUGAUUUACUCAUGGAGCUGAAGUCAGUCGAAGAUACCAGCUGGCUGCAACUGUUUAUUAAAAACACAGCACUGUGCAAACACGAAAGUGGACGUAUACGGUGUGACGCCUGCCCGGUGCCGGAAGGUUAAUUGAUGGGGUCAGCGUAAGCGAAGCUCCUGAUCGAAGCCCCGGUAAACGGCGGCCGUAACUAUAACGGUCCUAAGGUAGCGAAAUUCCUUGUCGGGUAAGUUCCGACCUGCACGAAUGGCGUAAUGAUGGCCAGGCUGUCUCCACCCGAGACUCAGUGAAAUUGAACUCGCUGUGAAGAUGCAGUGUACCCGCGGCAAGACGGAAAGACCCCGUGAACCUUUACUAUAGCUUGACACUGAACAUUGAGCCUUGAUGUGUAGGAUAGGUGGGAGGCUUUGAAGUGUGGACGCCAGUCUGCAUGGAGCCGACCUUGAAAUACCACCCUUUAAUGUUUGAUGUUCUAACGUGGACCCGUAAUCCGGGUUGCGGACAGUGUCUGGUGGGUAGUUUGACUGGGGCGGUCUCCUCCUAAAGAGUAACGGAGGAGCACGAAGGUUGGCUAAUCCUGGUCGGACAUCAGGAGGUUAGUGCAAUGGCAUAAGCCAGCUUGACUGCGAGCGUGACGGCGCGAGCAGGUGCGAAAGCAGGUCAUAGUGAUCCGGUGGUUCUGAAUGGAAGGGCCAUCGCUCAACGGAUAAAAGGUACUCCGGGGAUAACAGGCUGAUACCGCCCAAGAGUUCAUAUCGACGGCGGUGUUUGGCACCUCGAUGUCGGCUCAUCACAUCCUGGGGCUGAAGUAGGUCCCAAGGGUAUGGCUGUUCGCCAUUUAAAGUGGUACGCGAGCUGGGUUUAGAACGUCGUGAGACAGUUCGGUCCCUAUCUGCCGUGGGCGCUGGAGAACUGAGGGGGGCUGCUCCUAGUACGAGAGGACCGGAGUGGACGCAUCACUGGUGUUCGGGUUGUCAUGCCAAUGGCACUGCCCGGUAGCUAAAUGCGGAAGAGAUAAGUGCUGAAAGCAUCUAAGCACGAAACUUGCCCCGAGAUGAGUUCUCCCUGAGACUUAGAGUCUCCUGAAGGAACGUUGAAGACGACGACGUUGAUAGGCCGGGUGUGUAAGCGCAGCGAUGCGUUGAGCUAACCGGUACUAAUGAACCGUGAGGCUUAACCUU
rnacentral:rRNA from 3 species